rnacentral:rRNA from 1 species
AUACGGAGGGAGCAAGCGUUAUUCGGAAUCACUGGGCGUAAAGGACGCGUAGGCGGGUUUGUAAGUCAGGUGUGAAAUCCUACAGCUCAACUGUAGAACUGCACUUGAAACUACAGACCUAGAGUAUGGAAGGGGCAGAUGGAAUUAGUGGUGUAGGGGUAAAAUCCGUAGAUAUCACUAGGAAUACCGAAAGCGAAGGCGAUCUGCUGGGACAUUACUGACGCUGAGGCGUGAAAGCGUGGGGAGCAAACAGGAUUAGAAACCCGUGUAGUCC